GUCGGGAAUCUUGUGCAAUGGGGGAAACCCUGACACAGCAACGCCGCGUGAGGGAUGAAGGCCCUAGGGUCGUAAACCUCUGUCGGGAGGGAAGAAUUCUCCGGGGGUGAAUAAUCCUCGGAGUUGACGGUACCUCCAAAGGAAGCGCCGGCUAACUCCGUGCCAGCAGCCGCGGUAAUACGGAGGGCGCAAGCGUUGUUCGGAAUCAUUGGGCGUAAAGCGCGUGUAGGCGGCUUGGUAAGUCGGGCGUGAAAGCCCGGGGCUCAACCCCGGAAUGGCGCUCGAAACUGCCUGGCUUGAGUCCCGGAGAGGAGGGCGGAAUUCCCGGUGUAGAGGUGAAAUUCGUAGAUAUCGGGAGGAACACCAGCGGCGAAGGCGGCCCUCUGGACGGUGACUGACGCUGAGACGCGAAAGCGUGGGGAGCAAACAGG
rnacentral:rRNA from 1 species